CCUACGGGAGGCAGCAGUGGGGAAUAUUGCACAAUGGGGGGAACCCUGAUGCAGCAACGCCGCGUGAGUGAAGAAGUAUUUCGGUAUGUAAAGCUCUAUCAGCAGGGAAGAAGAUGACGGUACCUGAGUAAGAAGCCCCGGCUAAAUACGUGCCAGCAGCCGCGGUAAUACGUAGGGGGCAAGCGUUAUCCGGGUUUACGGGGUGUAAAGGGAGCGUAGACGGGGAGGUAAGCCUGAAGUGGAAGCCCGCGGCCCAACCGCGGAACUGCUUUGGGAACUGGUUGGCUGGAGUAGGGGAGGGGUAAGCGGAAUUCCUGGUGUAGCGGUGAAAUGCGUAGAUAUCAGGAGGAACACCGGUGGCGAAGGCGGCUUACUGGACCAUAACUGACGUUGAGGCUCGAAAGCGUGGGGAGCGAACAGGAUUAGAUACCCUGGUAGUC
rnacentral:rRNA from 1 species